AUUGAACGCUGGCGGAAUGCUUUACACAUGCAAGUCGAACGGCAGCACGGACUUCGGUCUGGUGGCGCGUGGCGAACGGGUGAGUAAUGUAUCGGAACGUGCCCAGGCGUGGGGGAUAACGUAGUGAAAAUUACGCUAAUAACGCAUACGAUCUAUGGAUGAAAGCGGGGGAUCGCAAGAACUCGCGCGAUUGGAGCGGCCGAUAUCAGAUUAGGUAGUUGGUGGGGUAAAGGCUCACCAAGCCAACGAUCUGUAGCUGGUCUGAGAGGACGACCAGCCACACUGUAACUGAGACACGGUCCAGACUCCUACGGGAGGCAGCAGUGUGGAAUUUUGGACAAUGGACGCAAGUCUGAUCCAGCCAUUCCGCGUGCAGGAUGAAGGCCCUCGGGUUGUAAACUGCUUUUGUACGGAACGAAAAGGUCUCUCUUAGUACGGGGGGCUCAUGACGGUACCGUAAGAAUAAGCACCGGCUAACUACGUGCCAGCCGCCGCGGUAA
rnacentral:rRNA from 1 species